CAGCGGUCUUUCUAAAAAUGGGAAAGGUAUUAGCUGUGUUAGUGUUCAUUUGCUUUCUGCUAAGCAUUAUUCACGAAACACAUAGUGAUUGCUCUGGAUUGUGUAAUUGGACCAUCUUGCGCUGUGGCAGUGACGAAUACUGCGACUUCAGAUAUCUAUUUAUGGGGCUUUGCUGUUCAUAGAAUUAGCACAAUUGGGAAGAUAUGAUGCAAAUGAAUGAGAUGAGAAGACACAAAAAGAGCUUUUUUUUCAUUGAUUUUGCAUUAAUAAAUCUCUUUAAUUGUGCUAAUGGGAAAAAAAAUCUUGAGCAGACAAAAUAAA